UGGAAGUGUACCAAGAUUGUAUCCAUUUUUGGUAAAUCUUGUCAAAAGAUGCUGAAAGAAACAAAAGGCUACCAUGAGUGACCCUCUGAGUACUAAAACUUUGCUACAGAUCCGGUACUUUCUUCAUGAAGGAGCUCCACCAAGAGAGCUGGACUGGUCCUGAGAUGACAUCAACUUGGUAGAUGCCAAGUGCGGAGGAUGGAAGGGGAUAGUCAAAAAAGAGUUCAUGUUUGCUGAAGGUGUGCAGUUCUGAGAACCUUCUCACGACUUGACUUAACGGACAUGAAGGUUUUCGUAGAAGUUUCUUCAGCUUGUUAAGGUGAUUCUCGUAAAUGAACGCA